AGGUCGUUAGUCUAAGCAGAACAUUUGAUUUCGGCUCAAAAAUUUGUGGUUAAAGUCCACAACCACCUA
rnacentral:tRNA from 2 species